UACAGAGGGUGCGUGCGUUAAUCGGAGUUACUGGGCGUAAAGGGCUCGUAGGCUGCCAACUAAGUCAGACGUGAAAUCCCUCGGCUUAACCGGGGAACUGCGUCUGAUACUGGAUGGCUUGAGAUCGGGAGAGGGAUGCGGAAUUCCAGGUGUAGCGGUGAAAUGCGUAGAUAUCUGGAGGAACACCGGUGGCGAAGGCGGCAUCCUGGACCGACACUGACGCUGAGGAGCGAAAGCCAGGGGAGCAAACGGG
rnacentral:rRNA from 1 species